UCGCCAUUAGCUCAUCGGGAUAGAGCGCCAGCCUNCNNCUAGCUUGAAGGCUGGUUGCGCGCGGGGUUCGAGUCCUCGAUGGCGGUCCA
rnacentral:tRNA from 1 species